CUGAGGGACAAUAUGGUAGACGUUUGACAUCAAAAACUGAAUGUGAAGUAAAUAUCAUAUGGAGAAUCUGCCAAAGCUACGCUCCGAACAGUAUACAUGUUUGAAGCUCACUCUUGCUGGGCAGACAUUUGCGAUACACGUUAUGCUAAAACCUUGAACCUGACCUCUGACCUCAGAAUCCUUGGCAGUGACUCUUCUGUUCAUACACCUAAGCUGCUGUGUCAGAGGAAUUUUGUGCUUUCACAUCCGGAUCCAGCAACUUGAAGCUAGGCGGGACAAAAUUAAUAAUAAGGAAAUAAGAUGGAAACCGCAAAAUCACCUGCUAACCAACGUUUGCUAAAAUAAAGUCUCAAAAUACAGUGUUAAUUCAA